rnacentral:lncRNA from 1 species
UGGACAGAGUGUAAAGGAUGAAAAGAAGAAUGAUACACUGUGAGAGUGAGAAAAAAACAGAGAAUGUGACUUGCUUUAGAGAAGAAGAGAGGUUGAAGCAGUGAAGAUUGUUCUCUGAUUUAGUAAGAUGAUAGCUACUAGGGUUUAUUUUCUUAAACCAUUGUAAUAUGAGUGGUAAAUCUCAUCUCCCAAGGUUGCGAUGUAGGAUAAGAUUUCAACCCCGA